UUUAGUGUCCUAAACAUAAAGGGUCUGGUCUGUACUUCUAUUAAAAGCAAUUGGUCCCCACAUCUGUACCUCAGAGUUCAGAGUGGGGAGGGAACCCUGACAGAGGCAGACUACUGCAGAGCAGCCACUGGCAGAAGACCCCAAGAGAGAAAGAACUGCCAUGCUUGGCCAUGAGGAGGUGCCAGUGUAUCUGCUUUCUUCUCCAUAAUGUUGUUUGAGAAGCCAUUGAUUCAAUUCUGGAUUCUUCCUUACAUAAGAAUUACGAAAAACCAGAACAAGCUAAAUUUUGCUUGUGGUCCACAACAGCACCUGUACAGCUGCAGUGAAGUACAGGAUGUGAUUUGCUGAGUGCCAAUGUACUUGUCCAUGAUUACUAUACACCAGAUAAGAAGGUGGUGCUGGCAUUGCCCUCCAAUAAUUUCAAGCAUCGUGUAUUUCUGG